UGUUACGCAACGUACAAACAGUUAUUCUAUUUGUUUACAUAACUGUAUUGAUAAAUAUAUCGAUUGUCUAUUCGUAUUUAUUUGUACCACGCGAUGUGCACUUUUAACCUGUUGGAGGUAUAGCCGGUAUAAGUAGCGCACAGUAUUAUGGCGAUUUUAUUUUAAGCAGUAUAUGUAACGAAAUAGUAGACUGAAAUAAAAUAUAAAUGAAGUUAGAUAAAUAAAAAUGGAGUUGAGCGGAUAGCAAUGUAACCAUUUUGUAUUGAUACUUUUGAUGCCCAUCAAGAAAGAAAAAUAAUUAUUUUAUAUCACAUACCUUGUGUUUGCGGGUACUGAUUCUAGAAAUAACCAAGUUCCCACUUUUCCACAUACUGAAAUAUGUCAUUUUUAUCCGCGUAAUUAUGUUUUUUUUUCAGAAGUACGAAACGGAAAAAACGAGGAAUUACUGGUCUGCAUCGGAAACAGUCACGUCGUGAUCUGUCUUGCCUACUUUUAUUGCCAUGUUGUUGAAGGUUUUAACCGGAGAUUUAACAUUCAAGUCGCUUACACCACCUGACCUAACAUGCUGUACCAGAGCGCAACUGAAGGAGUACUUCAUAAACAGCUACGACCUCAACGAAAGUCUUUUUACAGCUUUAAAGGACGACACUGUGUUUUACAAGUGUCCAGACCGUCUGCGACUUCCUCUUAUCUUCUACUAUGCUCACACCGCAGUGGUCUACGUUAACAAGCUCGUGCUUGCUGGUCUCCUCAAGGAGCGGAUCAAUUUUGAGUUUGAGAAGAUAUUUGAGACUGGUGUUGAUGAAAUGUCAUGGGAUGAUACGGAAAAUUUCCGUAUGGGAGGUUCAUACCAAUGGCCAAGUGUUGAAGAGACGGUUCGUUACAGGCAUGAAGUCCGACAAGUCAUCUUAAAUAUAAUCGACACUACACCAUUACAGCUGCCAAUCACCAUGGAAAGCAAAUGGUGGGCUGUAUUGAUGGGUAUGGAACAUGAGCGUAUUCACCUGGAGACAUCAUCAGUCCUUAUACGGCAGUUACCAGUUGACAUGGUCCGCAUACCAGACGGAUGGACGUAUGCGCCAGUACACAGUUCAAAUGGUCCAAGAGAGAACCGAAUGCUGCAUAUGGGGGCAACUGAUGUGACGUUUGGCAAGCCAGAAAACUUUCCGUCCUACGGUUGGGAUAAUGAAUACGGCGAGGUGUCUUGCUUUGUUCCGUCGUUCGAAGCGUCCGAGUAUCUGGUGACGAAUGGUGAAUUCUUGGAGUUUGUCAAGGAUGGUGGCUAUAUGAAACAGGAAUAUUGGAGUGAGGAGGGGUGGAAGUGGAAAACAUUCAGGCAAGCAAAGCAUCCGAUGUUUUGGAUUUGCGGCAGUGGCUGUAAAAGUGGUUGUGGGGCAGACCUGGCGACGUACAGUCAUUGCAGACUCCCUGGCAAUACCAUGGCAACAGACAAUGGAAAUCAUACACCAUACAAAUACCGCGCCAUGUUUGACAAUCUGGAUAUGCCAUUAUCGUGGCCAGUAGAUGUGAACUAUCACGAGGCGAAGGCCUUCUGCCACUGGAAAGGAUCAGAGUACAGACUCUUGUCUGAAGCUGAACAUAAUGCCAUUAGAGGAAAACAGACUUCAACUGAAGCAGGGACGUUAUGUGAUCUGAUAUUUUCAGGGAGAAAGAUCUGUAACCACAACAUGGCCUACGGAUCUUCAACUCCAGUGAACAUGUACCUACCGAACGACUGUGGAUUCUAUGAUGUGUUCGGGAACGUGUGGCAGUGGACAGAGGACCAGUUUAACGGUCUGUGUGAGCAUACACACAUGCUGUAUGACGACUUCUCUUCGCCUUGCUACGACGGAAAACAUAACGUGAUUCUGGGUGGUUCGUGGAUAAGCACAGGAGAUGAGGCAUCAAGAUUUGCAAGAUAUGCUUUCCGGAGACAUUUUCUACAACACGCAGGGUUCCGUAUAGCACGAACAGUACACAAAGCUGACAAGAUUGAGCUGUCGACAAGGAUUGUUGAUACAGAGGUCUAUAUUCUUGGAAGUGGUGUCGAAGAGAGCAAAUUGAAUCUGGAUAAGGAGAGAGUUAAGCCUAUCAUAGUGCCAUCCACUAACAUACAUUACCAUUUUGAAUCCCUGGAGAAAUUAAAAGGUAUUCUCGAGCAGGAAUUUGGAUUCCGAAAAUCGUUUCCUGUUGUGAUUGCCGAUCUUUGUAAAGAGCUGGUUGAAAACAAUCGCCUGGACAAGAAGUCUGCACUUUGGAUAGGUGCAGGAUCUGGCCGAGGGCCUCUGCUUUUAAGUGAUACAUUUGAAGAAGUCCUGGCUACCGAUGUGGUUGCCAGAUUUUUAGAUACCGCUAUGGACAUACAGAAGGGAAAGGACGUCAGCUUCACAACUGACGAGGGACGUGCAAUAAAUGCUACACUUGAUAGGAACGUUAAACCUGACAAAGUUCUUUUCAAACAGUUUACUUGGAUUCCAAAUGAAGUUGGAAUAAGUAUCUUUGACAUGACUGUUGUAACAUUCUUGGAGAGAACACAACAACCAAAAGCUUGGCUUCUAAGGUUGUCAGAAAUUACGCGGAACAAUGGUCUAGUGGUCAUAGCCUCCCCAUCCGGCAACUGGGGUAGAGAGAGACUCGAACCCACACUCACAUGCAAAGGAUUAGCAUGUGUGGUAUCCAAGGUUUUCCAGUAUGAGGACACUACUGGAACCGAAAAUGCUAGUGUUACAGUCUGGAAGCAUGCUUAAUCUACCAAAACGAAAGGGACAGCUAUGCCAAACAUUUCAGAUUCGCUUUCCAAUAUUGCUCUUAUCACAAUAGGGUUUCGGUUCUUACUACGCUAGUAGUGAUUUUUGUGUUUUGUAGGACAUAUUUAACUUCUACAUGCGACAAUAUGAUAAGCUGAUGUUGGAAAAGGCUUCUAGGAUACUCGUAUUGACUUUAUCUCAGUAACAUGUUCUUAUUGAAAUAACAGGUUGUUACUGUUUCAUAUUUUACUCAGUAACAUGUUGUUACUGUUUCAUAUUUUACUCAAUAACAGGUUGUUAUUGUUUCAUAUUUUACUCAGUAACAGGUUGUUAUUGUUUCAUAUUUUACUCAAUAACAGCUUUUUACUGGGUCAUAAUUUUGCAUCCUUUUGAGGAUGCAUCCCUUUGAGGAGGCUUAUUUCAUAUUUUUUUAAUUAUUGCGUGCAUUAUCUUUUUCUUCAUAAAUUCAUACAUUUUAUAUAAUUUCAUCUAUCUCAUGUAAUCAUGUUGAUUUUUCAUUCAAAAUUGGAUCUGACGUUUUCAGUUACGCUCUCAAUGUUUCCCUAUUUACAUGCUUUUGUUCCAUUCUAUGUUUAUUUGAGUAUCAUUCCGUACCAUUUA
rnacentral:misc_RNA from 1 species